rnacentral:miRNA from 1 species
UUAUUAAAGCUUAAAAUGGCACCAAGAUUUUU